CCGCGACCGGCGCCUCCCCUGGGGGAAAAGGCGCGCCACCGUUCUUUUGCUUUGUCUUUUUUUUCCCGCCCUCUUUUGUCGCCGAGGCGAGUUCCUUUUUUGCGGUCGUCCGCCGUCUCUGUCGUCGUCCGCCGUUGUGGCCAUCAUCGUCGUCGUCGUCAUCGCUGUCGGAUUGUCUGCGGUCGGACCUUGCAGGGGUGUCUUUUUGUCUCGUUGUCGUUGUCGUCGAUGUCGUUGUCAAUCUGGUCCUCGUCCUCGACGGUCCGGUGUCUCGUCAUCAAAGGCGACGGCGACACCGGACCGGCGACACAGAGAGGGAAAAAGAGAGAGAGAGAGAGAGAGAGAG
rnacentral:lncRNA from 1 species